AAUGUAUAUACCAUCUCACAUAGUUACUUUUGUGUGUGGUAAGAGCACCUAAAGUUAACUCUCUUAGCAACUUCCAGUAUACAAUACUAUAUUAUUAACUGUAAUCCUCAUGCUAUACAUUAGAUCUCUAGACUUACUCAACCUAUAUAGCUGCAACUUUGUACUCUUUGAUUUACAUUACCUAAUACUCCCUGGCCCAUCCCCCAGCCAAAUCACAGUUCUACUUUCAGUUUCUUUCACUUUUUUAAAAAAAAAGAGUUCAAAUAUAAGUGAGAUUAUGUAGUAUUUUUCUUUCUAUGUUUGGUUUACAUCACUUAGCAUAAUCUUCCUGAUUCAUCAAUGUCACAAAAGGUAGGAUUUUUUUAUUUUUCAAGGUUGAAUAAUAUUUCAGUGUGUAUAUAUAUCACAAUUUCUUUAUUCAAAUUUCUGUCAAUAGACACUUAGGUUGUAUUCAUAUCUGACUAUUGUGAUUAAUACCGCAGUGAACAUGGCGAGGCCAGAUACCUUGAGGAACUGCAGAUUUCAUCUUUUUGGGAUAACACCAAUAUGGCCAAUUAUCUUCCUGCAUGAAAUAUCCAAAGUGGUGUCUCAUACUGACCUGAGCAAACAUCAACUGAUACGUGUGCUAAUAGAAGUGGCACCAGGAAACAGACCUUUCAAUUGUUAAUCUGAGAAUGGUUAUUUGACCUGAUUAUAAAUGUUGAUCUCAUCACAUUUGGAAAAUGAGACUCAGGCCUGGGAGGAUGAUGGCAGUGGCUGUCAUUGACCUUCAGCUUUCUUAUUUCAAUGGGUUUAAUUCUAAUCCUGAGGUGGCAGAUGCAGUGACUGAGUGGACAUAGGAUGAGACUGACAAUUACAAUAUUUUUAUCUGCAGGGAUAAUUAUUAACAGCUUUUGAAGUCCACCAUUUCUCCGCAUCUGAAAAUCAAAGUACUUUUUCUGUUACAUUUUAAUCUGACAUGAAUGAGCAACUUCCUGCUGUUUUAGGACAGGUCCUCAAUAGUACUUUUAAAGCCUUAGGAGCUUUCAAUAUCAUCAGCCAAUUAGGCAUUCACAAGACUUUUGCUACAUAUGACAAGUUUAGAAAUAUUCCUUUUUUUUUUAAGUUUCUAGAGAUGUAGAGAACUUUCUGACUUUCUAAUUGCAUGACCAUAGAUUAUGACUCUUUCCAUAAUAUGAAAUGCAUCCUGCAGUGCUUGUUCUAAACUAUACCUCAAUAGUUAUUAGUGAUGAUAACCAGAAAGAUUGACAGUUAUUUAUUGUUUCUUACCAUUAUACUCCCCACGGAAGGAGAGAGAUUUCAUACAUACUAUUUAGACAUUAUUUAAUAAGAGACUUAUAAGUCAAAGAAAUUUAAUUGCACAUUGUCACUGUCAG